GAUGAACGCUGGCGGCGUGCUUAACACAUGCAAGUCGAACGAUGAUCCGGUGCUUGCACCGGGGAUUAGUGGCGAACGGGUGAGUAACACGUGAGUAACCUGCCCUUAACUCUGGGAUAAGCCUGGGAAACUGGGUCUAAUACCGGAUAUGACUCCUCAUCGCAUGGUGGGGGGUGGAAAGCUUUAUUGUGGUUUUGGAUGGACUCGCGGCCUAUCAGCUUGUUGGUGAGGUAAUGGCUCACCAAGGCGACGACGGGUAGCCGGCCUGAGAGGGUGACCGGCCACACUGGGACUGAGACACGGCCCAGACUCCUACGGGAGGCAGCAGUGGGGAAUAUUGCACAAUGGGCGCAAGCCUGAUGCAGCGACGCCGCGUGAGGGAUGACGGCCUUCGGGUUGUAAACCUCUUUCAGUAGGGAAGAAGCGAAAGUGACGGUACCUGCAGAAGAAGCGCCGGCUAACUACGUGCCAGCAGCCGCGGUAAUACGUAGGGCGCAAGCGUUAUCCGGAAUUAUUGGGCGUAAAGAGCUCGUAGGCGGUUUGUCGCGUCUGCCGUGAAAGUCCGGGGCUCAACUCCGGAUCUGCGGUGGGUACGGGCAGACUAGAGUGAUGUAGGGGAGACUGGAAUUCCUGGUGUAGCGGUGAAAUGCGCAGAUAUCAGGAGGAACACCGAUGGCGAAGGCAGGUCUCUGGGCAUUAACUGACGCUGAGGAGCGAAAGCAUGGGGAGCGAACAGGAUUAGAUACCCUGGUAGUCCAUGCCGUAAACGUUGGGCACUAGGUGUGGGGGACAUUCCACGUUUUCCGCACCGUAGCUAACGCAUUAAGUGCCCCGCCUGGGGAGUACGGCCGCAAGGCUG
rnacentral:rRNA from 1 species